GCUGGUCCUACUGGGACAGCCGGGUACGCUCUGCUGUUGGGAUAAAGCAGGCGAGCGAGGCCAGGCAGAGCUUAGACGGGAGGAAGGGUUGCGUUUCCGUCAUUCGACAGCGAUAAAACCCAAGAUGUGACUGUUUGAGGGCGCGGAUCUGUGUCUCACGCGCCGCAGCGCUGGGGAUGUUGUGACAGCUUUCUGGCAGCUCCUGUCUGCAUCGUCCUCCCCUGCGGGAUCCAGGGAGGGGGAAGAGGGUUUGUUAAUGGAAAGGAUGAGGAGAGGUGGAGGAACGUACGUACGCUUUAGCUCCUUCCCUGCAACGGCACCAGCUGAAGCAGCUUCCUCUGCGCUUUUCGGAUCAGCCCACCAAGUCCCUGUUUCAGCUAAGAGGCACCCUUAGCCAGCAAGACCCGGUAACCGCAGAGCAGACAGAAACUGCUGCUUUGGAGACACCAGCAAGCACUUUCUGAUGUUACCAGGCUUUAGCUGCUGCGGGGACUUGGUUUGGAGGCUCAGCCGGAGUAACCCGAGGAGGCAGAGCUGCUCCCUCAAGCUGCUGCCCGCGGACUGAAGGAGGAAUGGAGGGAGCAGACCUGCACCUCCCUCACCCGCUGUGAGGGGAGGUUUCGGCAGCUCAACCCUCUUGCGUCUCCUGUGCCUCAGUUUCCCCACCUAUAACCUCGCCUUGGGCAGGGUUUUGAGGCCGAGAAGUGACGCCGUGCUCGGCCUUCUGGACUCUGUAAAGGAGGGAUGUCUGCUCAGGAUGGAUGUUGCCUUAUGCUCACCUCCUGCCCCACGCGGGAGGGAGCCUUCCCCUCCGCGGCUGGUUACAAGCAGGCCACCAGAGCCCCCUCCUCGCCUUCCUCCUGGCUGCCCCCAUCGUCUGCAGGGAGAGGAAAGGACCCAGCAGAGGUCCAGAUUUCAGACUUUCCCCCUUGCUCCUCCACCUUUCCCUCCCUAGAUUGCGGAGGCACCAGAGGGGGGUAUUGCCACCCUCUCUUCCCCGCUGCAGCCUCUCGUUUCCCAUCUGUGUCUCUUUUCUUCCCCGACUGAAAAGAAACUGUCACCCUCUCCUUCGCCUCACCGCUCACCCCAACAUGUGACACAGCCACAUCUACAUCCCUGCGCCCGUCCAGGGGCAGAGGCAAGGUGGGCGAGCGCAUCUCCUCCCUUUGUUGCAUCGAGGGGGGGAUU